UCGGCACGUCCCCUACGCAGCUCUGGCUGAGUUUGGCGGGCGCUGCAGAGUAGUGCCGUUCUUUCUUGGCUUUAAGGGAUUGGGGGAGCUCCCCCAACCCCUUAAAGCCAAGAAAGAACACU